UUGAACUUUUUUUCUCCAUCUUAUACUUAUUAUUUAUUGUAAAUUAUGAGAAUUAUUAAACAGACGUAUGGGCUUAGGUUCCUUCGGACAGACGAUAUUUCUUUCUCGACACUUCCUUCUUCUUCUCCAUGUUUUUGAUGAACACCUUUAAUGAUCUUUUUUGCGUAGAAUCCUGGCGAACGGCUAUAAUUGUAUAAUCGUUGGAGAUCUCCUAAUAAAUCACAGUAUCUGAGAUUCGAAUUCCAAAUCCCUAGGUGUAUUAAUGAACAUUUGGUCAACCAAACCAAUGUACCACCAAAGGGGCUUACACGAACUUUACUUUUCUUUAGGAAGAAAAAUAAAAGUCAGUUCAAAAAAAUACAUUGUCCGUUU
rnacentral:sRNA from 1 species